CAGCCGCCACGGUAAUACAGAGGGUGCGAGCGUUAAUCGGAUUUACUGGGCGUAAAGCGUGCGUAGGCGGCUUUUUAAGUCGGAUGUGAAAUCCCUGAGCUUAACUUAGGAAUUGCAUUCGAUACUGGGAAGCUAGAGUAUGGGAGAGGAUGGUAGAAUUCCAGGUGUAGCGGUGAAAUGCGUAGAGAUCUGGAGGAAUACCGAUGGCGAAGGCAGCCAUCUGGCCUAAUACUGACGCUGAGGUACGAAAGCAUGGGGAGCAAACAGGAUUAGAUACCCCUGUAGUCCCUGUCUCUUAUAU
rnacentral:rRNA from 1 species